rnacentral:rRNA from 1 species
AUUGAACGCUGGCGGCAUGCCUUACACAUGCAAGUCGAACGGCAGCACGGGAGCAAUCCUGGUGGCGAGUGGCGAACGGGUGAGUAAUGUAUCGGAACGUACCUUUCAGUGGGGAGUAACGUAGCGAAAGUUACGCUAAUACCGCAUAUUCUGUGAGCAGGAAAGCAGGGGAGUCGCAAGACCUUGCGCUGAUUGAGCGGCCGAUAUCAGAUUAGCUAGUUGGUGAGGUAAAGGACUCACCAAGGCGACGAUCUGUAGCGGGUCGUGAGAGGAUGAUCCGCCACACUGGAACUGAGACACGGUCCAGACUCCUACGGGAGGCAGCAGUGGGGAAGUUUUGGUACAAUGGGCGGCAAGCCUGAUCCAGCCAUG